ACGGCCGUCGCCAUGGUGAAGCUGAGCAAAGAGGCCAAGCAGAGACUACAGCAGCUCUUCAAGGGGAGCCAGUUUGCCAUUCGCUGGGGCUUUAUCCCUCUUGUGAUUUACCUGGGAUUUAAGAGGGGUGCAGAUCCCGGAAUGCCUGAACCAACUGUUUUGAGGGUGUGGUGGCUCACACCUGUAAUCUCAGCACUUUGGAAAGCCAAGGUGGGAAGAUCAUGGGAGGAUUGCUUGAAGCUAGGAGUUCAAGACCAGCCUGGGCAACGUAGCGAGACCCAUCUCUACCAAAAAAAAAAAACCUACUUUGGGGAUAAAGGAUUAUUUGGUCUUCUGGAUUUGGAGGCAAUCAGCGGACAGCAUGGAAGAUGUGUGCUCUGGCUCGGAUAAGAGAUGGGACAUCAUUCAGUCACUAGUUGGAUGGCACAAGGCUCUUCACAGACGCAUCUGUAGCAGAGUGGAACUUGUACUAACUUAUGAUAGAAUGUAUCAGAAUAAAUGUUUUUAACAGUGU
rnacentral:lncRNA from 10 species